UGAAAUGAUGUCUGGUGACGGCUCUGAGCCAGUGAUGUCGCCAAAAAGUCUGAUC
rnacentral:snoRNA from 2 species